GAUGAACGCUAGCGGCAGGCCUAAUACAUGCAAGUCGGACGGGAUUCAGGAGCUUGCUUCUGAUGAGAGUGGCGCACGGGUGCGUAACACGUAUGUAACCUACCUUUAUCAGGGGGAUAGCCUCUCGAAAGAGAGAUUAAGCCCGCAUAAAAUCACAGCACAGCAUUGUGUAAUGAUCAAAUAUUUAUAGGAUAAAGAUGGGCAUGCGGAACAUUAGCUAGAUGGCGGGGUAACGGCCCACCAUGGCGACGAUGUUUAGGGGAUCUGAGAGGAUGGCCCCCCACACUGGGACUGAGACCCGGACCAGACUCCUACGGGAGGCAGCAGUAAGGAAUAUUGGUCAAGGGGCGGAAGCCUGAACCAGCCAUGCCGCGUGCAGGAAGACGGCCCUACGGGUUGUAAACUGCUUUUAUACGGGAAUAAACCCAGAUACGUGUAUCUGGCUGAAUGUACUGUAAGAAUAAGGAUCGGCUAACUCCGUG
rnacentral:rRNA from 1 species